rnacentral:rRNA from 1 species
CGGGUAGCGGAACACGUACGCAACCUACCCAUAACUGAGGAAUAGCCCGGGGAAACCCGGAUUAAUACUUCGUAACAUAAUGAGAUGGCAUCAUCUUAUUAUUAUAGCUCCGGCGGUUAUGGAUGGGCGUGCGCCUGAUUAGGUAGUUGGCGGAGUAAUAGCCCACCAAGCCUACGAUCAGUAACUGGUGUGAGAGCACGACCAGUCACACGGGCACUGAGACACGGGCCCG